AACGCGAAGAACCUUACCAACCUUUGACAUGUCCAGUAUGGGCCUAGGAGACUAGGUCCUUCAGUUCGGCUGGCUGGAACACAGGUGCUGCAUGGCUGUCGUCAGCUCGUGUCGUGAGAUGUUGGGUUAAGUCCCGCAACGAGCGCAACCCUCAUCUUCAGUUGCCACCAUUCAGUUGGGCACUCUGAAGAAACCGCCGGUGACAAGCCGGAGGAAGGUGGGGAUGACGUCAAGUCCUCAUGGCCCUUACAGGUUGGGCUACACACGUACUACAAUGGUGGUGACAGUGGGUUGCGAAGUCGCGAGACGGAGCCAAUCCCCAAAAGCCAUCUCAGUUCAGAUUGCACUCUGCAACUCGGGUGCAUGAAGUUGGAAUCGCUAGUAAUCGCAGAUCAGCACGCUGCGGUGAAUACGUUCCCGGGCCUUGUACACACCGCUAGUC
rnacentral:rRNA from 1 species